UAAAAUCUUUUUUAAAAAAAUAAAUGUAUCACCAACAUUUUGUAUUUUACCAUCUCUUGCACAAGGCUCUGCCUUUCUCGAUCCUUCUUAGAAGGAAGUAACCGUUUUUCCAGUUCUCAUGGCACUUCAUCUGAGCCUCUUUAUUGUCCAGCCACGUUCCACUGUGUGGCACACUUACAGCAUUCAUGCCUCAUCACUUCUGCUCGAGGCCAGGAUCCAUGCCUGGUGUUAAUUCCACAGCCUUCAGUGCACCUGGCGCUUGAAAAAGCAAGCCUGAGGUUUUCCACAUGUCAUUGUGAACCACUCACUUUGCCACUGCACAUAGUACUGACCUCAGAACUUAACAAUGGUGCAGGCACCCUCUUCUCUAAACACACGGUACAAGAAGUAUACAGAAUAAAUUGUGAUAGUUCUUUUUCACGUAUCUUCCAAUUUUUUCUUCCUUUCCAGAAGUAACCACUGUUACCUAUUUAUUAAAUACUCUUACAGGCUUUUUCAUCAUAAUGUUUUACUAGGAUGGCCCUGUCUUCUGUGAUGUCAGUGGAACUUCUGAUUUCAUCUAAAGGACCAAAACUGUGUUCCAGGAUAUGGCAGUCACUGUUCUCUGGCUAAACCAACAGCCAUUUACCACCCCUCCUUCUCUCUUCCCCAAUUCUUCCUUUCUUGAACUGAAGUGUGACAUCUGGAGCUGAAGCAACUAUCUUGUGCCACUGAGGCAACAGUUGGUAGACUAACUAUGAGAGCAGGAAGGAAGGAGGAGCUUGAUUUUGCUGACAUCACGGAGCACUGCAUAAGACUUGGACCUGCCUACCUUCUAACUUUCUGCUCAAUGAGAAAAAUAAUUGCUUAGUUAUUGUUAGUUAGGUUUUUGUUACUGAUAUUUAAGAAUAAUUCAAACUGGUAUAAGUAUAACCAUCCGUUUCCCCAGAAGAGCUGCUCAGGUCAUCAGAAGCCACCAACAUGAAAAAGGAGUCACAAGACUUACCUGCGCACAGGAGGCACUGACCAUCCAGGCUCCUUGCACUUGGUUUGCUGAUUGUCAGUCAAGUCAAUGCAGUGGCAAUGUGUAAGCAGUGGGUUUCACAUCUGCUUUACUCAUGCCUGCAUUCUCUUUUUUUCUCCAAUUGGGAGUCCCAUGGAAUGACUAACUUCCCAACAGAUGCUUCCAGAAAUGGCCUCAGUGAAAAUGUCAGCAGCCACAAUUCAACGACUAUCCCCAAGAUCAUUCGAUGCUAUCCACACUGCCCAUCAACAAAACUUUGCCAGGGGAAGCAGGUGCCAUUUGCAAAUUACUGCUUGGUAAAACAACAAAUGAGAAUGACCCAGGUGCAAAAGGGCACUCCCUUUUGCAAUGAUCCAGCUCCCAAAUGUAUGAUAUUGGUUUGUAUUUUCAGAAAUGAAACUAAGUCUGAUUCUUUGGAACCAAGGAGAUUUCUAGGUAGAGAGCCUGCUGCUUAAUAGGCCCCCAAAACACCAUCUCUCACCUGCCCUGAGUUCUGCCCUCUGGUCUAGUACAGGAUAGAUGACUCUGAGAUUCAUUGGCUGUUCACACCGGGAAAGUUUGCACAGACACUUCCUAAUAAUGUGUUUGCAAUGGUUAUGUACAGCUUUGAGCAUUGCUUUGCCCUUCCCCUUACUGUUAGUUGGAAAUAUGUAUUUUUCUCACUCCAGACUAUUCCCCAGAAAAAAAUUCUUUUCUCAGAGAAGAGUUAAAGAAUAUGUAAUGGAGUCCUAUAGAAAUAAGACUGAAGGUUCCAGAUUCUGAAAUUGAUUGAUCAACUCUGUGUAGCAGAAUGCAGAAGAGAUGUAGAGAACAAAGUCCGGGACUAUUUACACCUACUUGUUAACAGUGAUUACCUCUGCCCCUCUAUCCUCUCUGUUCCUACCUCCCUUACUUCCUGCCCUUUCUCCCCUUUUCCCCUCCUCUCCCUUUUACCAUUUCUUUGCUAACAUAAACCUAGUUUGUCAUUGUCUGAAGUCAAGAGUAAAAGACAAAUAUAAAAAAUUCUGAAAGAGAAAUUACUUGUAAUGUGAGCUCCAUUCUGUGUGUUAACUUCAGCCAUUUGUUUACAUUUGGCAAAUCUCUGGGUCCUCAAAUUCUAGGAAAAUGUUUCUAAUAAUGCUAAUAUUUUACAAUUUGUGAACUAGAGUUUUGUUUUUUGUUUUUUUUUUUUUAAAGAUUUAAUGUACUGUUGGAAGAUGGGGGGACAUUCCUCCACCACUUUUGAUGUUUCUUCCAUGUGGAUGAAAUGUAAUUAUUUAACUCCUGACCUCUCUCUUUAUUAGCUCUUCCUUUGGGGAGUAAUUUAUUUGAUAGGUAAAUUUGAAAUGUAAAUACCUAGGUAUGUUCUGCUCAGCUUCUCUUCUUCCUCUGGGGAGCUAGCAGGUCACAGGAGUUCCAGCUAUGCUCUGUUCUUCCAGGGCAAGCUCUGCUCUGCCCCUGCCCAGGGAAGGAAGUCUAACAUGACUGGGUAAGGUACAUCUGCCUAAUUCUGGAGUUCAUUUAAUUAAACUAUGCCCUCCAAUCUAGUUUUAUCAGCAAUAAAGUUAAUAUUUUAAUUCUC